UACAGAGGUCUCAAGCGUUGUUCGGAUUCAUUGGGCGUAAAGGGCGCGUAGGCGGGCGGUCCAGUCAGGGGUGAAAUCUUUCGGCUCAACCGGAAAAGUGCCCCUGAUACUGACGGCCUCGAGGGGUGUAGGGGCAUGUGGAACUAAUGGUGGAGCGGUGAAAUGCGUAGAUAUCAUUAGGAACGCCGGUGGCGAAAGCGACGUGCUGGACACCUUCUGACGCUGAGGCGCGAAAGCCAGGGGAGCAAACGGG
rnacentral:rRNA from 1 species